UACAGAGGUGGCAAGCGUUGUUCGGAAUUACUGGGCGUAAAGGGCGCGUAGGCGGCCUUCUAAGUCAGACGUGAAAUCCCCAGGCUCAACCUGGGAACUGCGUCUGAUACUGGAUGGCUUGAAUUCGGGAGAGGGAUGCAGAAUUCCAGGUGUAGCGGUGAAAUGCGUAGAUAUCUGGAGGAAUACCGGUGGCGAAGGCGGCAUCCUGGACCGACAUUGACGCUGAUGAGCGAAAGCUAGGGGAGCAAACGGG
rnacentral:rRNA from 1 species